ensembl:lncRNA
CAAUGGGUGUGGUACUUUAAGUGGAAAGAAAAAGCAAGUGAGUUGUAGUGAUGAAACAGAUGUGGGUAGGAAAGCUAAUGGAGAAAGGCAGAUGUAGAAUAAAAAUUUUACUAGUGGUACACUAAGUAGAGCAGCACUUGACAUAAACAUAUACUAUGCACUAGCAUGGAUCUCUCUGGCAAUGUUUGUGAUUUCAGGACUUUGCAUUUGGAACUCAUCUACAAUCACAAGCAAAGGUUCAUUGUUGCUCCAGCCACCUUCAAUCACAGCAUCACAAGUUCAGGCUUCAGGAAUAUUAAAGGAUUCUCACAAAAGAAGACUUUGAUGAAUUCAGUGAUGCAUUAAGGACAGGUUGAUGCCGUGCUCAGAAAAUGAUCUUUAGCUCUGCAGCUGAGAAGUGAUGAAAAGGAACAAUCAAGCCCUCUUCAUGAUGCUUUGUCCUUGCAACACCACUGUAUUUCAGGUCCCUCACCCUCGUGGCUUGGCCAAAGGCACAAACAAUGCAAAGAUAACAAAGGAUGAUGCCCAUUGGUCUAGAAGAAUCUUUGGCUCCUUCAGGCACAUAAAAGGCGACAGAUAUUCAAGGAACUGACUUCAUUGCAAUGGUAGGAGCAGCACAUUUUUCCCCGUGUUUUUCACAGUACAGAAACUGGUGAUUGCUUGGGCAUUUAGCUUCAGCCAAAGGCUAAAUGACCCCUUCUGCUUCUUGUCAAUGGGGUGAAAUAACCCCAAUUUGUUUUAUAGUAGAAAUCGCCUUGAGAUUAUUUAAUGAAGGUGUUAUUAUCAUUAUUAUGAAGUGAAUGGGGAAGGUGUUUGGAUAAUUGGCAGAAGAGAAAAUGAGAACAGCGAACAGUUACAACUCUGAGGCCCCUUGGCAACAGACACCUUCUUAAGUGUAUCUGAAACAGGCAGCUCCCUUGAUCAGUACAGACCUUUCUGCUGGAGAGGCAGCUUCCUCUAGAAGUGUGCUUGUGAAUUUAAAUACACAGGAACUGAGAAACAGAAAUAACAAUUUUCUUGAUUUCUACCCCUCCCGCUAACUAAAUACACAUUUACUGCUAAUUAACUUAGAGGUAUGGAACACAUUACCUGGCACAAAUUCAUCUCCUACUAUUUGUUAGGCUGAGUGAAAAAGAAAUAACUUUUCCUGUUUGCUUUAUCAUGUCCUUGUUUUGUGCCUUGCUGUAUUGUAUUUUUUUUCUUUUUUUUCCCCCCUCCAACAUUUUUGUUUUAAAACCAGUAGGUUUUAGAGCAAGAAAAACAUGUUCAGAAUCUUACAAGGAGAGAAUAUCUUUCUUCCAAUCCAUCCAAACACAGGAAUGAAAGACAGAUCAAAAGACAGACAACAUCUUUUAGGGUAAAUGCUUAAAGACGUCUCUGGUCCUAUCUCUGUAUGUACACCUCCACACUCAGAAAGUGGAAAUGCUCUAGGCAGAUGGGAGACUUUUGGUUCUAUUCUACCCUGCUGAUACAUGACGUAGAGCUAACUAUCCUCUCAG